rnacentral:rRNA from 1 species
GGGACGGGUGAGUAAUGUCUGGGAAACUGCCUGAUGGAGGGGGAUAACUACUGGAAACGGUAGCUAAUACCGCAUAACGUCGCAAGACCAAAGAGGGGGACCUUCGGGCCUCUUGCCAUCAGAUGUGCCCAGAUGGGAUUAGCUAGUAGGUGGGGUAACGGCUCACCUAGGCGACGAUCCCUAGCUGGUCUGAGAGGAUGACCAGCCACACUGGAACUGAGACACGGUCCAGACUCCUACGGGAGGCAGCAGUGGGGAAUAUUGCACAAUGGGCGCAAGCCUGAUGCAGCCAUGCCGCGUGU